GGGUACCACCGUGAUCAGCAGAACGCCUCCUCUGGAGCCUAUACAAUAUCCCUGUAUUAUUGCUAUGAGAGCAAUGAUUGCUUUCUGCACCUUCUGAGGACAGCACAUAAUAGGCAGUAUCAAAGCAAUAUGAUGGGGGAAUGAUGAUUUCAUUCAUGUUUAUAAAACUGCUUAUUUGUGAGCAAGCAAUCGUUUGUGUCUUCCAGAAGAGAGUAACCAACAUCAGCAGGUGGAAGAGAGCAGGUGAUGCCAGCUUUGGAGAAUUAAAAAAAGUAUAAAAUUUCAUCAGGAACUGGAAGAAUAAACAGAUUAAAAAUGAACA
rnacentral:lncRNA from 1 species